UACGUAGGUGGCAAGCGUUAUCCGGAAUUACUGGGCGUAAAGCGCACGCAGGCGGUCUUGUAAGUUUGACGUGAAAGCUCCCGGCUUAACUGGGAGAGGUCGUUGAAGACUGCAAGACUUGAGGAAAUGAGAGGGGUGUAGAAUUCCCGGUGUAGUGGUGGAAUGCGUAGAUAUCGAGAGGAACACCAGUGGCGAAGGCGAGUCUCUGGACGACUCCUGACACUGAGGCACGAAAGCUAGGGGAGCAAACAGG
rnacentral:rRNA from 1 species